GAAAUGCGAUAAGUAAUGUGAAUUGCAGAAUUCAGUGAAUCAUCGAAUCUUUGAACGCACCUUGCGCUCCUUGGUAUUCCUUGGAGCAUGCCUGUUUGAGUAUCAUGAAAUCUUCAAAGUAAAUCUUUUGUUAACUCAAUUGGUUUCUACUUUGGUAUUGGAGGUCUUUGCAGCUUCACACCUGCUCCUCUUUGUUCAUUAGCUGGAUCUCAGUGUUAUGCUUGGUUCCACUCGGCGUGAUAAGUUAUCUAUCGCUGAGGACACUGUAAAAGGUGGCCAAGGUAAAUGCAGAUGAACCGCUUCUAAUAGUCCAUUGACUUGGACAAUACUUUUAUGAUCUGAUCUCAAAUCAGGUAGGACUACCCGCUGAACUUAAGCAUAUCAAUAAGCGGAGGAAAAGAAACUAACAAGGAUUCCCCUAGUAAC
rnacentral:misc_RNA from 1 species